CUGAGGAUGACAUGAGCCCAGUCAGAUACUGGCCCAUGAAGUGACGGAAACUGCAGGAGUCUUUGGGGUGACAGCCCUUGGCCUGGCCGGCUGGCUGGCAGAUCUGCACUGAGCUGGGAGUACUCACCAUGAGCCCUGCAGAGUUACUGAGCACACAGCCUGACCUGGCAGGCAGAACCCUUUGCUGCUUAUCGUGGCCAGACUCGGAGGCUGGCGUCUUCACACGGAUGCUCGUGCCUGUGCUGGAAGCUGCUUGGCUUUGGCUGUGGUUCUGUGCCUCCCCUUCAUUCAAAGUUAUUCAGAAUCUGCUUCCCAGUAUCAGGAGUUGUCUCAUCUCUGGGCUGGCAUGUUUGCCUGAGAAGCAGCGCUGGGACUUCAUUCCCCUGAAUGUUUAGAUGCUGGCAUCUGCUCCAAGGAUCCUCAGUUCCCUGCCAUGCUGGAUUUUGAGGGUCCUGAAGCUGGAACUCCUAGCAGGAAAUCUCAGCUUGUUGGAUGUCCUGUGAGAGAUACACCAGACAGUCUCAUUGCAGGGUAGGUAACUCUAGCUUCCUCUUGGCCAAAUUUGUGGCCUCCCCAGUAGCCUGUGAAUCUUUGAAUCUGAUGUAAAACCCCUUGACAGGAAGACAUGGAGUGGCUUGUUAGAUAUUGCUGCUUUCUGCCAAGGGUGGCUAGGAGAGCCUGUGGAGCCUCCGGUAGGGCUUGCUGCAGUGGGUACUCCUUCCUUAGGGAUAAACCCCAGGUGGAGCCAAGCUUGGAAGGAGUAGGCCAAGGUGCCUGCAGUGGCUAAGGGCCCAGAGCCUGGGGCCGAGGGGGGCCUUGCUUCCCUCUGUAUCUCAUGGCUUCCAGAGUUUGCAGACUGUUUAUGGGAGAACAGGACACAGGACACAGACAAGCAACAAAGUGGCCUUAGGACAGUGCUGCGUGCAAGAUUAAGGCAAUAGAAGAUCUCACUGAUGUUUGAGGGCACUCAGGACACUGACUGAGUCGUGUUCCCUUUCCUGGAGGGUCGAAGGCUACUGAGGACACAGUGCUUACGAGAAACACUACAGCUCUGGAAUAAGGAUGGCCUCAGGCGUAGCUGCUGUCCUUGCCAGAUGGACCUCUUUCCUGGACACUACAGAGUCUCUGCAGCUGCUUGCUUUCCAGCCAUUUCUUGGAGACUGAGAGCCUGAAUCAGAAGCCCCAAAGACUGGAAAUGGUGGCUUCUGAGGCAUGCAGCCUGGCUCUGGAGAGCUUGGGACCCAUGACCACCAGCCGCCCCAUGUGUAUGGCAGCUAUGUUUUACAGAGUGGAAUUAAAAAUGGCUCUUCAGUUGCUGUGGAAACCAACAGCCCCCACCCCCUGCAUCAGUCUGAAUUUGUGCCAACCAUUUCUGACAGAUUUAAGCCAACAAACUUGUUCUUGCCCCGAGGGGAAGCCAGGUUUGAGAACCAAA